rnacentral:lncRNA from 1 species
UUUUAUUGUGUUAACUUUCAACUUAUAUCUCACUGUAUUUCAUAUUCAAAGUUCAUUCAAGUGUUUAAGUCUUGCUAGGACUACUUAUUGGUUUUAUAUUAACACUAUUCAAUAUCUUAUUAUAUUCAUUUCAUUUGAUUUAAAACACUUUUUAUGUUCAUUAUCACGUAUCACGGCGUUUCGACGUUUAUUCGUCACACGCCCAAUUUGUCUCUCUUAUGUGUGCUUAGUAUGC